rnacentral:lncRNA from 1 species
AGUCUCUGGAGCUAUUUGUCAAGCUGUCCACAUUUUCCCUCUCUUGUGCAGUGCCUUCAACCUCCACCUUUGCCCCUGUGAGUCUGUACCAUGGCAACAUGGUACUUUACACAGUCUGCUUUAGAACUGUGCUUCUCCUGGCUCUACUUGCAUCCUCUAUUGCUGGACAUUGGGAGACCCUUCAUUGAGGUCUCAAGCCCUAAGAUCUCCUGGAUUUUGCUGAGAAAAAGGAAGUUCUUCUGCAUCAAGUAACUGAAGAAUCAAUCAAAGAUUAUCUCCUGGAAGAGAUGGAUUAAAAAAAAUACAAGAUUGAUGAUAUGGAAAACAGGAAAAGCUUCGGUGACAGCUACAGGACAGUGAUUUGGAAUCACCGAACUCUCCUUGGGAAUAUGCUGUCUACUCAUCUUGAUGCAGUAGAAAGAAGGUGUUGCUGUUGUCAGAUAUGUGCCUUUGGGUAUAUUUGCUUCCCACACCUUGAAUAUAUAUAUAUAUAUAUAUAUAUAUAUAUAUAUAUUACAUUUACAUAAAUCACUACAGCUCUAUACUUUUUAUUAAGAUCCCCUAUGAUAUCCACAUAUUGAUAGUAUAUAAUUUGACUGUUCCUGACAUGUGUAUCCAUGUAUCCAUUACCACUAUAUAAUAAAUAUACUCAUCACUUUCUUUUUUAUGUCCUUUCAUAAUUUUCCAAUGCACCCCAUUUUUGUCUUCUCAGUUUAGCAGUGAGCUGAUUUCUGACUCAGUAAGGUUGUCUGCAAUUUCAAUAGUGGUUAUAAAUGGAAUUUCUCUUUUACUCAUUUUCUCUGACACCUUUCUACUUUGUAGUUAUGAGACUCUUCCUGUUUAAGAUAUGUCUAGAUUUUAAUCCCUCACUGAAUAGUAUUGUACAGCUAUUCCUUUUAUAUUAAUGUGACUAAAAUACUGUGACCAACAAUAUAUGUUAGGAAUACUUUAUUUUAGCUCAUGGUUUCAGAGAGUCUCAGUCUAUCAUGAUGAACAAAGCAGGUUUUAUUGUGGUGUGGACAUGAAGUGAGAACCACUUGAAUAGCAGCAUACUAAGAACAGAUAGCAGCUACAAUGUGUUUCUGGGCUCUAACAUUACAGUCUUACCUCCAUCAUGAACGUGUAACAGCUGUAUCUACCUGCAUAAUACUUGCACAAACCUAUUUGAAAGAUAGAAGCAUAUUAGCUGGGAAAAGAAAGAGGUGCAAUGUAGGUAAACAUGAUCACAAUUCAUAUGAAACCCAGUUGCUGGUGGCCUCCUUUGACCAGGUGAGCCCCACCUUGCAAAAUCUUCCAUAGCCUACUACAACAUGAACCUAUGAGGGUUUUCAUAGUCAAAACAAAAUGAUGAUACUGUAUGAACAUACUAAAAUUUAUUUAUCAUUUAAUUAUUAAUAAUAUCUUGAUCUCCAAUUUGACAUCCCGAUAGGUAUAAUUGAUGUAACUGUUCUGGUAAAAACCUUUUAUUUUUUUUAAACAUUUAUUUAUUUGUUUGUUUGUUUGUUUGUUUGUUUAGAAAUCUUCACUUAACAUCCUGAUCACAGUCACCCUCCCUCCCCUCUUUCAAGUCAUUUCCUUACAAAUCCUCAUUAUCCCCCAUCUCUUCCAAGAAAGGGAGUCCCCUUUGGGUACCACCCCACGCUGAGACAUCUAGAUACAGCAGGAUUAUUCUCUCCCAGUGAGGAUCAACCAGGCAUGGAAAUAUGCCACUUAGAAACUGGAUGUUUAAAUCAUAUAUUAAUUCAUUGUUUACCUUUUAAAAGUUAAAUGGAAGGUUUUAGCAUUUCAUCUCUAUACUAUCAUGUGUGAUAGAGUCAGGUCCUCCACAUCUAUGGAAAUCUUGGAUAAGGUGCUUUAAAGUUUUGGGUUUUGUUUUUUUUUUAUUUUUUCCACGUAAGUAUAUCAAUGUCUUCAAUUUCUAAUUGCAUCUUCCUAAUGAUUAGUGAUCUUUCUUGUGAUUUCUUUUAUCUCCAUGCUAUCUUUGGUAAUCACACAAAUCUCCCCUCUUUCCCUCCACCUCUCUCUAGCCUCCCCCCCCCCGACAUACACUCACACAUACACACACUCUACUCUUUGCCUUACUUGUGGCUAAAGUUUGAGGUUGCCUGCAACUCUCUGGGAUUACAUAGACUGCUAUAGGUGACUCGUUGUCAUCAUCUAAUAGUAUAUGUUAGGAGUAAAAUAUUUUUAUCUACACUAUAUACAAAUGACCUUCUUCCUUUGAAGAUUCCUUUUUACUGUGUAAGUUUGUGCCUAUGUGUAGUUAUGUACAUGUAAACCUGGGUGCCUGUACAUCAGAAGUGUUUGAGCACCUGGUGCUUGGAACCAAACUUCGGUCAUCUACAUGGGAAGCAAGUAUUCUUAGUCACUGAGCCACAUUUCUAGUCCUGAAAAAACUUAUUCUCAGUGAAUAAGCAUUAAAGCUGAGAAACAUUGUGCGAAACUGAAUAUACACUAUUUUUCUUCUAGAAAAAAAAAAGAAAUUUUAGGUAUAAUAUUUGGAUCAUUGUAUACCACAAAUGUUACUUUUUAUAGUAGCCUAUUUUCAUUCUUGAAAGUAUGACAUAUCUGUUGAGCUUAUUAGGUUGGAAGACAAGAUUGUUUGGCAUUGCUACUCCUUUGGAAUUUAUCACCUGUCCACCUGUGUACCUGUGCUUCUAUACCAGGACUGGCCAUCUUGUUCCAUUGAUCUACCUUCUUUUUUUUCCAAAGAAGGGAAGUCAUAUGCAGUCUUAAUGAAGGAUUAUAUCUAUAAAUCACAACAAUUAUCAGGAUGCCUUGGUAACCUGGGACUAUAGCUCAUAGGAAAAACACUUGCAUAACAGGUAUAGGUCACUGGAACACUACAGUCAAUUGGACCUAGUCAACCACAGCAAUACUUGUCUUCACACAUAAAAUGAUGACACUGGAUGUAAUACAAAAUUAGAGUGUUUGUGACUAGCUAUUUUAUUUCCCUUUAAUUCUGUUUUUCAAUAUACUUAUGGAAAUAUGUAUAAGAAUGUUUUCUUUGGUUCAGUACUAUCCCACUAAAUUGGAAGAACUUUUUUUUUCUUUUUAGUGGUUAAUGGAAAUUGUAUUUACUUUUUUUUCUUUUUGUUUUUUUUUGAGACAGGGUUGCUCUGUGUAGCACUGGCUGUUCUGGAACUCACUCUAUAGACCAAGCUGGCCUCGAACUCAGAAAUCUGCCUGCCUCUGCCUUCCAAGUGCUGGGAUUAAAGGUUUGCACCACAACUGCCCAGCUUACUUUUUCAUAUUUUAAACACUGUUUCUAGAAACACUAAUAUAAAAUCUGAGUGGAAAUGCGUUUUAUUUUUCAUAGAUGAAAAUAGUUGAAUCAUAUGUUUACUGUGUUCAUUGAUUGUAUAACAUACAUAUCUAUUUUUCAGUGUAUCUAUAUUUUUACACUCUCAUGGACAGCAUACAAGCCUUCCAAUUACACUACAAUAUCACCAACUUAUGAAAAUGUCCUUCAUUUAGGUUUAUAUUGUAUUGCAUUGCAUUGCAUCACAUCAUAUCACAUUGUAUUGAAUUGUAUUAAUUAUAUUAGUGAUAAUAGCUGGCUACAAUAAUGCUUAUUAUACUUUUGAACUUCAUUUUCCUAAUGAAAACAACAUUAAACAUUUUUAACAAUU